rnacentral:rRNA from 1 species
AUUGAACGCUGGCGGCAUGCUUUACACAUGCAAGUCGAACGGCAGCACGGGCUUCGGCCUGGUGGCGAGUGGCGAACGGGUGAGUAAUAUAUCGGAACGUACCCAGAAGUGGGGGAUAACGUAGCGAAAGUUACGCUAAUACCGCAUACGAUCUAUGGAUGAAAGCAGGGGACCGCAAGGCCUUGUGCUCCUGGAGCGGCCGAUAUCUGAUUAGCUAGUUGGUGAGGUAAAGGCUCACCAAGGCGACGAUCAGUAGCUGGUCUGAGAGGACGACCAGCCACACUGGAACUGAGACACGGUCCAGACUCCUACGGGAGGCAGCAGUGGGGAAUUUUGGACAAUGGGCGCAAGCCUGAUCCAGCAAUGCCGCGUGAGUGAAGAAGGCCUUCGGGUUGUAAAGCUCUUUUGUCAGGGAAGAAACGGUAGAGGCUAAUAUCCUUUGCUAAUGACGGUUCCUGAAGAAUAAGCACCGGCUAACUACGUG